rnacentral:pre_miRNA from 1 species
UCUACACCCAUGUGUGUAGGACCCCAAAAGAUCACCAUUAAAUUUGGCAUAGAUUUCUAGAAAAGUUAACAUGUGUGUGGGACUUGACUUUUCUAGAGAUCUAUGUCAAAUUUAAUGGUGAUCCUGUGGGGUCUUAUACAUAUGGGUGUGGG